rnacentral:rRNA from 2 species
CAGCCGCCGCGGUAAAACCAGCACCUCAAGUGGUCAGGAUGAUUAUUGGGCCUAAAGCAUCCGUAGCCUGCUUUGUAAGUUUUCGGUUAAAUCCAUACGCUCAACGUAUGGGCUGCCGGGAAUACUGCACAGCUAGGGAGUGGGAGAGGUAGACGGUACUCGGUAGGAAGGGGUAAAAUCCUUUGAUCUAUUGAUGACCACCUGUGGCGAAGGCGGUCUACCAGAACACGUCCGACGGUGAGGGAUGAAAGCUGGGGGAGCAAACCGGAUUAGAUACCCGGGUAGUCCCAGCUGUAAACUAUGCAAACUCAGUGAUGCAUUGGCUUGUGGCCAAUGCAGUGCUGCAGGGAAGCCGUUAAGUUUGCCGCCUGGGAAGUACGUACGCAAGUAUGAAACUUAAAGGAAUUGGCGGGGGAGCAC